rnacentral:rRNA from 1 species
GACGAACGCUGGCGGCGUGCUUAACACAUGCAAGUCGAACGGAAAGGCCCUGCUUUUGUGGGGUGCUCGAGUGGCGAACGGGUGAGUAACACGUGAGUAACCUGCCCUUGACUUUGGGAUAACUUCAGGAAACUGGGGCUAAUACCGGAUAGGAGCUCCUGCUGCAUGGUGGGGGUUGGAAAGUUUCGGCGGUUGGGGAUGGACUCGCGGCUUAUCAGCUUGUUGGUGGGGUAGUGGCUUACCAAGGCUUUGACGGGUAGCCGGCCUGAGAGGGUGACCGGCCACAUUGGGACUGAGAUACGGCCCAGACGCCUACGGGAGGCAGCAGGGGGGAAUAUUGCACAAUGGGCGGAAGCCUGAUGCAGCAACGCCGCGUGCGGGAUGACGGCCUUCGGGUUGUAAACCGCUGUCGCCUGUGACGAAGCGUGAGUGACGGUAAUGGGUAAAGAAGCACCGGCUAACUACGUG